UCGCGCGGCGUCCCCUGGCUCUGCGCCCCUGGGUCCCAGGCACCGAGGCCGCGGACCGCCAAGAACGCCCCUGCACCCCAGAGCCGGCCUCCCUGUCUCGGCGCAGCGGUCAUCAUCCAAAAUGCAGCAGUCUUCCUCUGAACGCUCACCUCUUCGUGCUAACCCCGAGUGGACAAACCAACUAACGCCCUUUCCUCCCUCUGCUCUUUCUGCACAAGCCGGUCCUCAGUGCUUUACUCAGAAAAGUGAAGGGUGUCACAACCAACAGGACUUCUACAAUCCUUGUGGGGCCCCACGUGAAUGCUGGAGCUCUGGCAACCUGUUUGGCACCUUGAGGCAUCCACACAUUGGCACCCAGCUGUGGAUCCAUGGCAUGGCGCUCAUGACCCCAGUUCUCCUGAAGUCACAGCCGUGGACACAGCUCACCGGUGUCCGGCCAGGGUGAUAACCAGCAGCUCGCUGAGUCCGCAUGCAGCCUCCUCGCCCAACGCUGCCUCUUCAGAGCCUGAGGGGCACAGGAUCUUUCCUCGGAGUCCCAGCACCAAAAGCCAGGUGAACACAUCCCAGCCGUCCUGGUCUUCUACCCCAAUUAAAGGCCCAGAGAUGAAGUUGCUGAAGAACCUCGCUCACACCUAUUUCACACAGUUGAGGCUGGCUGUCGGCUGAGAGGAGAACCAGCUACAUGGCUCACAGGGACCCAUGCAGAAGGAAAACCAAAGCCCGCAUCCAAACAGUUACUGAGAAUUUCAAGAUGGCGGCCACAGACCCUGGAACGGAGCAUGGCGCCCGUUCCACAGACCCUGACCCUGGAAAUCAGCCCUCGCUGAGAUGUCUGGGGACGCUUUCCCACAGAACUCUCACACGUGACCUCUUUGCAUGGCUUGGGUGAGCUCAGAGCGUGCUGGCUUCCAAAGGUACCUGGGUUGCAAAGGGAGUGAAAAUCCCAGGGAGUGAAAAUCGAGCAGAACUCGUAUCACGUGCAGAAGCCCAAGUCAUGCAGCAUCUCUCCCGCAGUCGUCUCUCCGUAACAGCAACAACAGAUACCCACCCGAGUUCCCAGGAAGGAGAAUAGGACCGCUCUGUGUCACCACCAGCUCGAGGCCCACCUGGGUAAUCUCCUGUGUGUUCCUGGUGUAAAACUUGCUCUGACGUCUUGGUUAACCAGACUUGACAGGUUAGUAAGCAAAAACACGCCUUAGAUUUCCCAAAUACCAAGAAUCACAUAUGGUCAUCACUCUUAUAAAAGGAAAGAGCAGAGCAAACAGAACAGAGCUCUUUCCUUUGCCAGGAAGAAAAUUAAUGCUUUGCUUAGAAAGGUGGGCCAGUGUGUUGUCACUACAUUUGCUUGGAAAUAAAAUGAGAAUCAUUUCACCAAAAAGCAAAAAAGCACACAAAAGUCAACUCGUGUUCUGGACUUUGCACAGCCCACCAAAGCUGUCUGCCUGGGCUUGGCUCUCCUGGGUAGCAUCAUUCAUCCCAGCUCUCCUGGGUGGGAUGUUUCAUGUGGGAAUCCAGAACAAAGCUGUGGAGUAGAUGAUCCUUCUACGUAAGGGACGGGUCACUAUGGGUCCCCUCUGAGGUGGCCGGCUUUGUGUCGAUCUGGGGUGACACCUGAAGAAACAGUGUAGAGAAAGAAAGAUUUGUUUUGACUCAUGGCUUCAGAGAGUACAGUCCAUGGUAGGCCAGCUCAUCAUGGCGGACAGGUGCACUAGAAGCAACCUGCUGAACUCACAGCACCCUGGAGGUAGAAAUGCCAAAAGCACAGGUCCCAGGGACCAGAUUUGGAUCCCAAGGUCCCACCUCCAUCCCCCAGACCCCCAAGGCGCCAAGAUCACCCCGCAAUAGCUGCUUAGAAAACAGCUCCAGUGUGGGAGGAUCCAUUGGUGAAAUCGUCACCAGCCAUCUCACUGAUAAACCUGCCUGGGUGGGGCCACCAGCUUAAGCCAGACACACAGAGCUUCAAACCCAACUGCAAGGGGCCCCAUGCCAUAUGCCCGUGAACCAGGAGCUCAAAAGUGCGAGGUGUGAUGUAAUUAUCCACAUUUCAGUCUCAGCUUGCAAGUCAUCAACAAACACCAUGGAGCACUCUCUCUCUCUCUCUCUCUCUCUCUCUCUCUCUCUCUCUCUCUCUCUCUCUCUCUCGGGUGCCAUGAGCUGGGGUGCAGAAAUGCCACAAUUAGCUGUUCGCCCAGACCAGUGUUAACAAAUGCAGGAACCCCUGCUUCCACCCCUUGUCUCUGUGCCUGGGUGCCCUUUGCUUCCGUUGUUGGGAUGGGGCAGACGUGACUCCAACAUUUCUACACUUUAGCCCUUGGAAGUUUUGGGCUGGAACCUGCCGGCUGUCACGGGUCAAGCUCAGCUCUCCCGCUAGAAGCUCAAAGCGUGCUUCUCUGGCGGCAGAACGUGUGCAGAUUUGGUUAAAUGCUGCACUGAAAUCUGUGCAAAUGGCGGCUUCGCUGACUGCCUUAGUCUCAGCUCUGAAACAAAAACAGGGGCUUAGAGCUCGCAGGCAGCAUGCCACAGCGGGUGUCCGGAAGGGGUUUGUUUUGGGGGAGCACUGUGACACGUAAUGGCUGAAAACAAUAGAAAGCUAUUCUUCCCCAGCCCGGAGCCCAAGAGUCUGAGACCAAGGUGACUCCGGCAGCACUUGCCUUAUUGGCUCCGGGCGAGACCCUCCUGCCUCUGCUUCCUCCUGGGGAUCCAGGUGGCCUCGGGCGGUGGCCCCAUCAUUCCCGUCUGUGCCUCUGUCUCUAAGAGGCUUCUCUCCUGUGUCAGUGUCUCUUUUCUGUCUCUCACCAGGACACCACCAUCCAGGCUGUGCUCAGCCCAGGACUAUGCCAAAGGCCACUGGCCCAGCAGCCCCUGAUAAAACGCCUACCUCCCCCCUCCAUGCAGAGUGUAGAACGCAGGGCUGCAAGGAGGCGUACACAGCAUGAAAGGCGAAUUCUUCUCAGCAAACCCUCUGCCAAUUCUCCGGACAAGCUCUUUGAAAACCACAGGACAGAAAUGGAAAUUUCCUUUUGGGUCUUAUUCACUCUUUCGGUUUCUUACACCAGGGAGACAGGACAAUGGGAAAGAAACUCCUCAAAAGGGAAGGUGGGGGAAGAGAAGAAAAAGAAAGGAAAAAGAGAUAUGUAUAUACACACGAGAUAGCUAAGAUAAUUGCACCGCUAAUUUGUCUUAGUUCGUUGAAAGGAACAGUUAGUGCUUAUAUUGUUUGACCGAUUUUGCAUGCCUGUCUCUGGUAAUCUAAGCAACUACUU